GCCUGGGUGGCUCAACAGUUGAGCGUCUGCCUUCAGCUCAGAUCGUGAUCCUGGCCUGGGAUCAAGUCCCACGUCAGGCU
rnacentral:tRNA from 1 species